rnacentral:rRNA from 1 species
GACGAACGCUGGCGGCGUGCUUAACACAUGCAAGUCGAACGAAGAGCGACGGAAGCUUGCUUCUAUCAAUCUUAGUGGCGAACGGGUGAGUAACGCGUAAUCAACCUGCCCUUCAGAGGGGGACAACAGUUGGAAACGACUGCUAAUACCGCAUACGAUCUAACCUCGGCAUCGAGGAUAGAUGAAAGGUGGCCUCUACAUGUAAGCUAUCACUGAAGGAGGGGAUUGCGUCUGAUUAGCUAGUUGGAGGGGUACCGGCCCACCAAGGCGAUGAUCAGUAGCCGGUCUGAGAGGAUGAACGGCCACAUUGGGACUGAGACACGGCCCAGACUCCUACGGGAGGCAGCAGUGGGGAAUCUUCCGCAAUGGACGAAAGUCUGACGGAGCAACGCCGCGUGAGUGAUGACGGCCUUCGGGUUGUAAAGCUCUGUUAAUCGGGACGAAAGGCCUUCUUGCGAAUAGUGAGAAGGAUUGACGGUACCGGAAUAGAAAGCCACGGCUAACUACGUG